UACGUAGGUGGCAAGCGUUAUCCGGAAUACUGGGCGUAAAGCGCACGCAGGCGGUCUUUUAAGUUUGACGUGAAAGCUCUCGGCUUAACUGGGAGAGGUCGUUGAAGACUGGAAGGCUUGAGGCAAUGAGAGGGGUGUAGAAUUCCCGGUGUAGUGGUGGAAUGCGUAGAUAUCGGGGGGAAUACCAGUGGCGAAGACGGCCGGCUGGGCCACACCUGACGCUGAGGCGCGAAAGCGUGGGGAGCGAACCGG
rnacentral:rRNA from 1 species